GAUGGGAGAAGAAAGAAAAAUAUCAGUGAAUCGACAUGAAAUUAAAAUCAACGAAAUACUAACAGACGAUGAUCCUAUCGAGCGCAUUUUACAAGGUUAUCGACGAAGAAGGUAUGAAGAUAGCAAAGGAAGAAAGGGAAAAGCCGCGGCUUCUCGCGCGGCCACUUAAACAUCCAGGCGGUAGAGAAUUUACGUAUCGAGGAGUAGAAUGCGAGAAAAAGGGUGGAGGGAAGGUGCCACGAGAAGAAAGAGACGCAGGAUGGUCUGCAUAUAAAGUGGACACGAAAUGAAGCGGGUUACGUUGCUUGGCUGGUAUAGGAGCAUAUGCCUCUCUCCUCCAUCCGUGAAGUUUGCCUCGCCUUUUUACUCGGUGUACAUUUCGUUUACAUAGGAUCCACGUGCAAGCGGGCGUGCAAAUGCGAAUAUACGCUAUGGAACGUGUACAUGCUUGGCCGUGUGUGCACAAUGUAUACAGGGAGGCGUUAAAAAGUUAAAAAAAUUCUUCUCUUCAUUCUUUUAAGUGGAAUAUUCCUAAGGAUAUUAUAGAUAAAGAAUUAUGGAAGCUACGAAGAAAAAGAAACAGUAUGUGUUCACAGUUAUUCUGCAACAAGUUUUUUUUUUAUGGAGAUGCAUUUUGAAACUGAAAAUAUU